UAGUUGGUGGAGUAAUGGUUCACCAAGGCAAUGAUACGUAGCCGACCUGAGAGGGUAAUCGGCCACAUUGGGACUGAGACACGGCCCAAACUCCUACGGGAGGCAGCAGUGGGGAAUCUUCCGCAAUGGACGAAAGUCUGACGGAGCAACGCCGCGUGAGUGAAGAAGGUUUUCGAAUCGUAAAGCUCUGUUGUCAGGGACGAGCAGGGGGAGUAUCAACAACACUCUCUCAUGACGGUACCUGACGAGGAAGCCACGGCUAACUACGUGCCAGCAGCCGCGGUAAUACGUAGGUGGCGAGCGUUGUCCGGAAUUAUUGGGCGUAAAGGGAGCGCAGGUGGGAAAGUAAGUCUGCUUUAAAAGUGCGGGGCUCAACCCCGUGAGGGAGUGGAAACUAUUUUUCUUGAGUGCAGGAGAGGAAAGCGGAAUUCCUAGUGUAGCGGUGAAAUGCGUAGAUAUUAGGAGGAACACCAGUGGCGAAGGCGGCUUUCUGGACUGUAACUGACACUGAGGCUCGAAAGCCAGGGGAGCGAACGGGAUUAGAUACCCCGGUAGUCCUGGCCGUAAACGAUGGAUACUAGGUGUAGGAGGUAUCGACCCCUUCUGUGCCGGAGUUAACGCAAUAAGUAUCCCGCCUGGGGAGUACGAUCGCAAGAU
rnacentral:rRNA from 1 species